rnacentral:lncRNA from 1 species
CCACUGCUUAGUUGCCCUCCUCUGGGCAUUCUCUAACUUGUCAAUGUUUUUCCUUAAACUCUGGGCACUCAGAGAUGAAGUAGUUUUCCUAGGGUGCCAUAGGUGCUAAAUGGAAGAGCUUAGAUUCGAACCUAGUCCUUUGAUUUAAAUUCAAUGAUUCUUGCAUCAUCUUAAAGUAUCCCUGAUUGUGUCAAUAUGGGUGGCUACUCACUCUAACAACUCGGAUAUAUAUGAUAUUCAUUGCCUUUUUUAAUAGAUUUUUUUAGAUAAAUAGAUUAAUAGAUUAAUAGUUUUUUUUUUAAACACUUACCUUCCAUCUUAGAAUCAAUACUGGGUACUGAUUCCAAGGCAGAAGAGUGAUAAGAGCUAGGCAAUAGAGGUUAAGUGGCUUACCCAGAGUCACACAGCUAGGAAGUGGCUGAGGCCAGAUUUGAACCCAGAACCUCCCAUCUCUGGGGCUGAUUCUCAAUCACACACACACACACACACACUCUUUAAAUGAUCUAUGCAUGUCUGUGUACUUUGUUGUAAGAAACUGAUGCUACUGAUUAUGACAGAAAAACCCAACAUGAGCCCUUCUGCCCUUUCCACAUCAUGCAUGCUUGAAAUUGGUCAUAUGAGCAAUAUGAGCUGCAGCUGCAGCCACAGUCUGAAGGACCUGUUGCUAUUUGUGACCUCUGCCUCAAAGCAGGAAGGACCUGAAGUCCAAAAACAGCUAUUUCACUGGUUCAACAGAAGAUCACCAGGGGUUCAUUGAUGUCUCCUGCUCCUGCCCCAAUCCAUGGUUGACUUCAGGUACUCCAACCAGAGGCUGCAGCCAAUUCUGACACUGGAACUACAAGCAGCCAGUCCACCUCCCCCUCUGGCAGCAACCAGGAACUCCUCACUCCUGGGGGUGAUUCAGCUUCUGGGGCCCCAGUUCCUCACCAACCACAUUCACUGGUAAGUGCUUCUAUUUCCCUCCUGUUCUCCUAUUGCUAUAGCCCUGGAUAGAGCAGGUAUCUAAUCCAUGGUCUUCAGGCCUCCAAAGUCCCCUAUUUGUUAUCAAUGAGGCUUGAGUUCCUGCUCUCAGGGCCUAGCACUUAUUGACUCUGUUUUAUCCAUUCCUUCAGUCCCUAGCUGUGGGUCAGUAGGGGGUCACUGGAGCCAAGUCAGCAGCAGACCUAGUUGCUCUCAGGGCCCUCUGUCAGCAGAUUCCAGUGAUAUGACCUCUGCAAUGCAAGAUUCCAAAACUCAGCAAAUAAGGUGAGGCUUCUAAUCCUGCCCUCUGGGGCUGCCUUGUGGAUCCCACUCUGUUCUUUGUUCCUGUCCUCAGGGUCUCUGGCAGUGGGACUGAGUCCAGGGAAAUCAGAAACCUUCCUCCUUAGUUGUCCUUGGCUGUUAAUCUUCAUUUGGUCUCCUGUCUGUUUUUGCUACUUUUAAUGUUUAUUUGUGGAGUUAUUUUUGGUUGUUUGGGGGGGGGGGCAUUAGGGAGUGAGGAAGCUUCACUUUCUAAUCUGCCAUCUUUCCACAAUGCUUCUGUGAAGCAACCCAUACAUAGCUUCUAAUAUGUAAUUCAGUCUUUUCUUUUUUAUUUUUCUCCUUGAUCAUGGGCCUAAUUCCUUAUCUAUCUGCAUAAUUUAUCUCAAAUAUAUGGCCUGAUGUACUAAUUUAAUAUAUGGAUUGGCCAUCUAAAUAUAUGCUGUAAUCUUUACCAUAGACAUUAAAAAAAAAUCUAUUUAGUUUUCCUCUGUAGGCUAUUGGGGGAGAUCCCCUUUGAAUAAUCAUAGAUCUCAUUAAGGAGGCCCUGUAAUGUGCUGGAGCUUCAUACAAUUAGCACAAUAUCAUUUAGAAACAGGAACAUCUGUCUUUCUCCAAGAAGCACCCAAACUAUGAAUUCAUUCAUCUUUGUGAGGCAGGUAAUGGGACACAAUCUUAGCUCUGAAUUUUUAGAUGAAUAAACUAAGGCAUGAGAUAAUGAAGCUGCUUGCC